AGUGAACGCUGGCGGUAGGCCUAACACAUGCAAGUCGAACGGCAGCACAGUAAGAGCUUGCUCUUACGGGUGGCGAGUGGCGGACGGGUGAGGAAUACAUCGGAAUCUACUUUUUCGUGGGGGAUAACGUAGGGAAACUUACGCUAAUACCGCAUACGACCUACGGGUGAAAGCAGGGGAUCUUCGGACCUUGCGCGAUUGAAUGAGCCGAUGUCGGAUUAGCUAGUUGGCGGGGUAAAGGCCCACCAAGGCGACGAUCCGAAGCUGGUCUGAGAGGAUGAUCAGCCACACUGGAACUGAGACACGGUCCAGACUCCUACGGGAGGCAGCAGUGGGGAAUAUUGGACAAUGGGCGCAAGCCUGAUCCAGCCAUACCGCGUGGGUGAAGAAGGCCUUCGGGUUGUAAAGCCCUUUUGUUGGGAAAGAAAAGCAGCAGGUUAAUACCCCGCUGUUCUGACGGUACCGAAAGAAUAAGCACCGGCUAACUUCGUG
rnacentral:rRNA from 1 species